rnacentral:rRNA from 1 species
UACAGAGGGGGCAAGCGUUGUUCGGAUUCAUUGGGCGUAAAGGGUGCGUAGGUGGCGUGGUAAGUCGGAUGUGAAAUCCCGGGGCUCAACCCCGGAACUGCAUUCGAUACUGCCUUGCUAGAGUACUGGAGAGGAGAUUGGAAUUUACGGUGUAGCAGUGAAAUGCGUAGAUAUCGUAAGGAAGACCAGUGGCGAAGGCGGAUCCCUGGACAGUUACUGACACUGAGGCACGAAGGCCAGGGGAGCAAACGGG